rnacentral:rRNA from 1 species
GAUGAACGCUGGCGGCGUGCCUAAUACAUGCAAGUCGAGCGAACAGACGAGGAGCUUGCUCCUCUGACGUUAGCGGCGGACGGGUGAGUAACACGUGGAUAACCUACCUAUAAGACUGGGAUAACUUCGGGAAACCGGAGCUAAUACCGGAUAAUAUAUUGAACCGCAUGGUUCAAUAGUGAAAGACGGUUUUGCUGUCACUUAUAGAUGGAUCCGCGCCGCAUUAGCUAGUUGGUAAGGUAACGGCUUACCAAGGCAACGAUGCGUAGCCGACCUGAGAGGGUGAUCGGCCACACUGGAACUGAGACACGGUCCAGACUCCUACGGGAGGCAGCAGUAGGGAAUCUUCCGCAAUGGGCGAAAGCCUGACGGAGCAACGCCGCGUGAGCGAUGAAGGUCUUCGGAUCGUAAAACGCUGUUAUUAGGGAAGAACAAAUGUGUAAGUAACGAUGCACGUCUUGACGGUACCUAAUCAGAAAGCCACGGCUAACUACGU